rnacentral:rRNA from 1 species
AAAUUGAAGAGUUUGAUCAUGGCUCAGAUUGAACGCUGGCGGCAGGCCUAACACAUGCAAGUCGAGCGGUAGCACAGAGAGCUUGCUCUCGGGUGACGAGCGGCGGACGGGUGAGUAAUGUCUGGGAAACUGCCUGAUGGAGGGGAUAACUACUGGAAACGGUAGCUAAUACCGCAUAAUGUCGCAAGACCAAAGUGGGGACCUUCGGGCCUCAUGCCAUCAGAUGUGCCCAGAUGGGAUUAGCUAGUAGGUGGGGUAACGGCUCACCUAGGCGACGAUCCUAGCUGGUCUGAGAGGAUGACCAGCCACACUGGAACUGAGACACGGUCCAGACUCCUACGGGAGGCAGCAGGGGAAUAUUGCACAAUGGGCGCAAGCCUGAUGCAGCCAUGCCGCGUGUGUGAAGAAGGCCUUCGGGUUGUAAAGCACUUUCAGCGGGGAGGAAGGCGUUAAGGUUAAUAACCUUGGCGAUUGACGUUACCCGCAGAAGAAGCACCGGCUAACUCCGUGCCAGCAGCCGCGGUAAUACGGAGGGUGCAAGCGUUAAUCGGAAUUACUGGGCGUAAAGCGCACGCAGGCGGUCUGUCAAGUCGGAUGUGAAAUCCCGGGCUCAACCUGGGAACUGCAUUCGAAACUGGCAGGCUAGAGUCUUGUAGAGGGGGUAGAAUUCCGGUGUAGCGGUGAAAUGCGUAGAGAUCUGGAGGAAUACCGGUGGCGAAGGCGGCCCCUGGACAAAGACUGACGCUCAGGUGCGAAAGCGUGGGGAGCAAACAGGAUUAGAUACCCUGGUAGUCCACGCCGUAAACGAUGUCGAUUUGGAGGUUGUGCCCUUGAGGCGUGGCUUCCGGAGCUAACGCGUUAAAUCGACCGCCUGGGGAGUACGGCCGCAAGGUUAAAACUCAAAUGAAUUGACGGGGCCCGCACAAGCGGUGGAGCAUGUGGUUUAAUUCGAUGCAACGCGAAGAACCUUACCUGGUCUUGACAUCCACAGAACUUUCCAGAGAUGGAUUGGUGCCUUCGGGAACUGUGAGACAGGUGCUGCAUGGCUGUCGUCAGCUCGUGUUGUGAAAUGUUGGGUUAAGUCCCGCAACGAGCGCAACCCUUAUCCUUUGUUGCCAGCGGUUAGGCCGGGAACUCAAAGGAGACUGCCAGUGAUAAACUGGAGGAAGGUGGGGAUGACGUCAAGUCAUCAUGGCCCUUACGACCAGGGCUACACACGUGCUACAAUGGCAUAUACAAAGAGAAGCGACCUCGCGAGAGCAAGCGGACCUCAUAAAGUAUGUCGUAGUCCGGAUUGAGUCUGCAACUCGACUCCAUGAAGUCGGAAUCGCUAGUAAUCGUAGAUCAGAAUGCUACGGUGAAUACGUUCCCGGGCCUUGUACACACCGCCCGUCACACCAUGGGAGUGGGUUGCAAAAGAAGUAGGUAGCUUAACCUUCGGGAGGGCGCUUACCACUUUGUGAUUCAUGACUGGGGUGAAGUCGUAACAAGGUAACCGUAGGGGAACCUGCGGUUGGAUCACCUCCUUA